rnacentral:tRNA from 1 species
GCCACUGAAGGAUAACAGCCUAUCCACUGGUCUUAGGAACCAAAAACUCUUGGUGCAACUCCAAGUAGUGGCU